rnacentral:rRNA from 1 species
GCAGGUGCUCCACGUGUGGUUGGUCCCACCCAUAAACCAUCCCGAACUGAUGGGUGAAAUAGCCACAGGAUAUAACGACUAAUGAAGGCUUUCAUUGGGAAAUUAUAUCUAGUGCCUGUUAU